UAAUGAAGGUGAACUGUUGUUUGAGUCACUCUUAAGCAUGUAGUUUAUUGUUUAAAUUUGCUGUUUUUACUGUGUAACAAUCCUCAAUUGAAAUAAAUAUCAAACUUACAGAUAGAUAAUAUUGUUUCAUCAUUUUAUCUUACUCAAGUUACUGAGAAUCUAUUUGUUGACUGGCACUAUUUAUUAUAGGGGCUGUUCUCUCACAGCAUGACCUUGAUACCUGUACAUUGUAUACAAAUACAGUGUACACACACUGCAGAGAUAAAGGGUUAACUCUGGAAUGCUGCGGUGUUAUAAAUAGAACUCUCAACCAAUGAAAAUAAAGAUAUGUAGUGGAGCCAAAACACGCAAAGUAAUCCCAACAGUCCUGUUUUAUUUCAAAGGCCUUUUAAAUAUUUAAAAAUAGACAAUGAAAGAUAUUCUCUUUUUAGUAGAUUAGUAUUUGUUAAAACAUUCUAGUGGAGAUUCCUUCAACAAUAGAUAGCAAAAUAGAAAGCUGCUCAAGAAUAUCAAAAGUUUAAAAGUAAACAGGAACUUCUUUGUUGGAGAUAUUCCUUUACACAUGCAGCUGGAAUUUAAACAGUUUAUGUUGCUAAAAUAACUUUUAAAUGGACACUGGAUAAAGUAUAAGAUGUGUAUAUGCAGUACCUGACAUAUGCCAAAACACACAUGGAUAAAAUGUAUGAGGCAUGAGACAUUUUUAGGCUUCAGUGAUUUACACUUUGUAGAAUGAAUGGUGCUCACAGAGAAACCCUAUUGAUGUGUAAACUUUUUGAUGGUAUACACCUCAUGGACUUGAUGGCAAAUAGUGGAAAACAGUGGCAUUCUCCAAGCUGGUUAGUUGAGAAUGGUGGAGAAAUAUCCAUGGCAAAUAGUGGCAUUUAGAGAAAAACAGUGGCAUAUUUUACACUGAUUGCCACAACAGUUAUGGUGGCAAACAGUGGAAACUUUUAGUGGCAAAUGGUGAAAUACGUUCCAAUACUCCACUGAUAGUGGCAUUCAAUGGAAAACAAUGGCAGUUUUUACAUCAAUAUGUGACAGUGGCAAACAGUGAAAAACUUUAAUGGCAAAUAGUGAAAAAUGUUCCAAUACUCCACUGAUACUGGCAUUUAAUGGAAAAUGGUGGAAAAUUUUGACUGGCCUUUCCAACCUCUAUUUUUUCAAUGUUUUCCCUCAGUUUCCACUCAAAGAGGCUUGUUCCAAUACUCCAGUGUUUUCCAAUGAUUUUUCAGUGGAAAAUGGUGGCAAAUUUACAGAAGGGUUUGAUCUUAUGUUUAAUGGUUUAAUAAUGCAGAAAUAAUGAAUGAAUUGCCGCAGAAACGCUUCAAAACAUUGUUGCCUUAAAAUGACGUCAUGACGUUACGUGUCAGUUACCGCGCAAAAUUAAUAGCUUUUAUUUUGAAAGUAUGUUAUUCUGUGCUUUUUCUUUAUUUGAAUUAUUUUUAAACAGCCAUUAUUUGCUGAAAUACUUUUUAUUAGUCUUUUGCUCUGAAAAAUGAUCAAUAUUUUGCUUCGUUAAAUUUUCACCAAGAGCACAUGCCUCGACCACAAAAUAGCAAACAUUUUUUAAAUAACAAUUAUAUUUCGUCCGUAUCAGUGGUAAUAUUUUUGUGGUCGAGGCCUGUGCUCUUGGUGAAAAUUUAACUUUUCCGUUGCCUAUUUUCACACGAAACGUGCCUGAAUUCAUUCAUAGUUCAAGCGCUACGUAGACAUAUCGCGACAAUUUACGUGAGAAUCUUCUAAAAAUUAAGGGGCUUAGAUCUACUAAUAUGGUCAACUUCAAGAAAUUAUCUAUCAUUGUGUCUAUCCUAAAUGGAAAUAAAAUCUACUUUCAAUCAAGACAUUAAAACGAUAAUUGAUCAACUUGCCACUUCAGAAAAUUAGUACUCAUGGUCAAUUUCUAAACUUAGAACAAUAAAAUUAGGCCUACAGUACUUACAAGUUAUAUGAAUAUGACGCGAUGUAAAUGUUCCUUUAAGCUCCUAGUUUCCUAAUCCAACAGUUACACGUCAAAGUUAAUCACAGUCACAGUGUAGACAUCAAUUUCCACUCAACAGAAUCUGUUGUUUUUUUCGGUGAAUUUCAGGCGAAAUUCGAAACAUACUAAUGAAGUAUGUUUCAUAAGCAUGCAACGGUUAAGCUCUGAAUGCACUUAUUUUAAUCCUUAUUUUCAUAAUUCAUCCUGAAGUAAAGAGAUAACAUUUUCCUUCUCAUACAUACACAUUGUAUACUAUUCCAAGAAGACACCAAGCAUCAUGACGUGUAUACUUGAUGGCGUAGUAUCAUUGCGUAAUAACUGCUGUCUCAUUCGCAUAUUACGCACCAUCAAUACGA